UACGUAGGGGGCAAGCGUUGUCCGGAAUCAUUGGGCGUAAAGCGCGCGUAGGCGGCUCUAUACGUCCGUUGUGAAAGUCAAAGGCUCAACCUUUGAAAGCCGAUGGAUACUGUAGAGCUAGAGUCCGGAAGAGGCGAGUGGAAUUCCUGGUGUAGCGGUGGAAUGCGCAGAUAUCAGGAGGAACACCAAUAGCGAAGGCAGCUCGCUGGGACGGUACUGACACUAAGGCGCGAAAGCGUGGGGAGCGAACAGG
rnacentral:rRNA from 1 species